rnacentral:rRNA from 1 species
GACGAAGGGGGCUAGCGUUGUCCGGAAUCAUUGGGCGUAAAGCGCGUGUAGGCGGUCCGGUAAGUCCGCUGUGAAAGUCGGGGGCUUAACCCUCGGAUGCCGGUGGAUACUGUCGGGCUUGAGUACGGAAGAGGCGAGUGGAAUUCCUGGUGUAGCGGUGAAAUGCGCAGAUAUCAGGAGGAACACCAAUUGCGAAGGCAGCUCGCUGGGACGUUACUGACGCUGAGACGCGAAAGCGUGGGGAGCAAACAGG